UACUUCAGUGGUGCCCAAAUUCUAUUUCUCCCUCGCGUCACUCCACUGGACCCUAACUGCCAGCCGUGACUCCCAUAGCCUCAAGCCGUCGAAGCCCUCGCCUGAAAGGGAUUGACCUCCUGCUGUUGUCGCCUGUCGCAGCUCUCGGCUUUUGAAGCCCGGACCUGUCCUCGUCGUCGUCAGUCUAGAGCUGCUGCUGGCCCGUCUUCUCUUCUCGGGAGUUUGAGAUGGCUUGGAAAGGUCGUUACAUGAAAAAGGCAAAGUUGGAACCAGGAAUUCAGCAACCUCAAACGGGAGCGAAUACGGCUUCAGCUUCCCACCACGAUGACUCUCAAAUCUCCCCCGGCCACUGGUGAUAGUGUCUUCACACCCGUUCUGUCCACCGCACAGCGAACGAAGGCCUGCUCCACAAACGAGCACAGAUAGUGCCCAGAACUCGCUGCCAGGAGACGUAAACUUAGGCGCUAAUGCGAAUGAGGUAUUUUCUAGCUGAAAUUGAGGGACCUGAUUCAGAAGCUUAAAAAGGACUGCAGAAGCUGUUGAUUCUGACCUCCCUGCACUUGAAAUGUAUUUUUUGGAGCUACAGAUAUCCAAUUGAUGCGCUAUCAAUUGCAUUGGAAAGUAGAAAUCUUGGGCUUUCCAGCAAUAUAUAAUAGUCUAUACUUGGCCCGAGAUUUGGUAGCACAAACUGGCUUUUAAACGCCAGCUCCUUACCCUUUUCUGGCGUUAAACGCCAGAACUGGCAUAAAAGUUGGAGUUAAACGUCCAAACUGGCACAAAAGUUGGAGUUC